rnacentral:rRNA from 1 species
UACGUAGGGGGCUAGCGUUGUCCGGAAUCAUUGGGCGUAAAGCGCGUGUAGGCGGCCCGGUAAGUCCGCUCUGAAAGUCGGGGGCUCAACCCUCGGAUGCGGGUGGAUACUGUCGGGCUUGAGUGCGGAAGAGGCGAGUGGAAUUCCUGGUGUAGCAGUGAAAUGCGUAGAUAUCAGGAGGAAUACCGAUGGCGAAGGCAGGUCUCUGGGCUAUAACUGACGCUCAUGCACGAAAGCGUGGGGAGCAAACAGG